GACGAACGCUGGCGGCGUGCUUAACACAUGCAAGUCGAGCGGUAAGGCCCUUUCGGGGUACGACGAGCGGCGAACGGGUGAGUAACACGUGGGUGACCUGCCCUUAGCGUCUGGGAUAAGCCUGGGAAACUGGGUCUAAUACCGGAUAUGACUCCAUGACGCAUGUUGUGGGGUGGAAAGGCCUUGUGCGGCUAGGGAUGGGCCCGCGGCCUAUCAGCUUGUUGGUGGGGUGAUGGCCACCAAGGCGACGACGGGUAGCCGGCCUGAGAGGGCGACCGGCCACACU
rnacentral:rRNA from 1 species